rnacentral:sRNA from 1 species
CCGGCCUGGGACCCCGAGAAGCCCAGCCGCAGCUACAGCGAGCGGGACUUUGAGUGUGGGUAGCCUGGGGACCCCUAGUGCGGCCGCCCUCGCCACCAUCACCUUCAUCGCCACCAUCACCGCGCUCACCUCCGGCUUGGUCACCCAGUGCCAUCCUGUGCCGGACACUGUGCUGGACUCUGUGCUGGGCCACAUGCCGUGUUCAGUCAUCCUGCCUCCCCCACCCAUCGCCUGUCCGCCUGCCAGGGGAGUUCACCGGCACACAUCCCACCACACCCACCACCCGCUCUCAGCGCGCCUGCCUCCACCCCACAAGCUGCGGCGGCUGCCCCCCACCUCUGCCCGGCACACCAGGAGAAAGAGGAAGAAGGAGAAAACCUCUGCUCCCCCCUCCGAGGAGACCCCUCCCAUCCAGGAGGAGGGGGGAGCCGGAGUGGAGGAGGAAGAAGAGGAAGAGGAGGAAGAGGAAGGAGAAUCUGAGGCAGAACCUGUGGAGCCCCCACCCUCAGGGACCCCACAGAAGGCAAAGGUCACCGACUGGAGGACAACCCUGGUGUGCGGCGACACUUAGUGAAAAAGCCAUCCCGGACGCAGGGCGGGAGGGGCAGUCCCAGCGGCCUGGCCCCCAUCCUUCGCAGGAAGAAGAAGAAGAAAAAGCUGGACCGGAGGCCUCAUGAGGUGUUCGUGGAGCUGAACGAGCUGAUGCUGGACCGCAGCCAGGAGCCCCACUGGCGGGAGACGGCCCGCUGGAUCAAGUUUGAGGAGGAUGUGGAGGAGGAGACGGAGCGCUGGGGGAAGCCACAUGUUGCCUCGCUCUCCUUCCGUAGCCUUCUGG